AUGAACGCUGGCGGCGUGCCUAAUACAUGCAAGUCGCGCGAACAGACGAGGAGCUUGCUCCUCUGACUUUAGCGGCGGACGGGUGAGUAACACGUGGAUAACCUACCUAUAAGACUGGGAUAACUUCGGGAAACCGGAGCUAAUACCGGAUAACAUGUUGAACCGCAUGGUUCAACAGUGAAAGACGGUCUUGCUGUCACUUAUAGAUGGAUCCGCGCCGCAUUAGCUAGUUGGUAAGGUAACGGCUUACCAAGGCAACGAUGCGUAGCCGACCUGAGAGGGUGAUCGGCCACACUGGAACUGAGACACGGUCCAGACUCCUACGGGAGGCAGCAGUAGGGAAUCUUCCGCAAUGGGCGAAAGCCUGACGGAGCAACGCCGCGUGAGUGAAGAAGGUCUUCGGAUCGUAAAACUCUGUUAUUAGGGAAGAACAAAUGUGUAAGUAACUAUGCACGUCUUGACGGUACCUAAUCAGAAAGCCACGGCUAACUACGUG
rnacentral:rRNA from 1 species